rnacentral:rRNA from 1 species
UACGUAGGGUGCGAGCGUUAAUCGGAAUUACUGGGCGUAAAGCGUGCGCAGGCGGUGAGCUGUGUCCGAUGUGAAAGCCCCGGGCUUAACCUGGGAAUGGCAUUGGAAACUGGCUCGCUGGAGUGUGGCAGAGGGGGGUGGAAUUCCGCGUGUAGCAGUGAAAUGCGUAGAGAUGCGGAGGAACACCAAUGGCGAAGGCAGCCCCCUGGGUUAACACUGACGCUCAUGCACGAAAGCGUGGGGAGCAAACAGG